CAGCAGCCGCGGGAAUACGAAGGGGGCUAGCGUUGUUCGGAUUUACUGGGCGUAAAGCGCACGUAGGCGGACUUUUAAGUCAGGGGUGAAAUCCCGGGGCUCAACCCCGGAACUGCCUUUGAUACUGGAAGUCUUGAGUAUGGUAGAGGUGAGUGGAAUUCCGAGUGUAGAGGUGAAAUUCGUAGAUAUUCGGAGGAACACCAGUGGCGAAGGCGGCUCACUGGACCAUUACUGACGCUGAGGUGAGAAAGCGUGGGGAGCAAACAGGAUUAGAUACCCCUGUAGUCCCUGUCUCUUAUAC
rnacentral:rRNA from 1 species